rnacentral:rRNA from 1 species
GAUGAACGCUGGCGGCGUGCCUAAUACAUGCAAGUCGAACGCAUUGAGAGAAGUGCUUGCACUUUUCAAUUUGAGUGGCGAACGGGUGAGUAACACGUGGGCAACCUACCUGAUAGCGGGGGAUAACGAGUGGAAACAUUCGCUAAUACCGCAUAACCAUAGAGAAGGCAUAUUCUUUAUUUAAAAGGCGCUUUCAAGCGUCACUAUCAGUUGGGCCCGCGGUGCAUUAGUUAGGUGGUGGGGUGAAGGCCUACCAAGACGAUGACGCAUAGCCGAGUUGAGAGACUGAUCGGCCACAUUGGGACUGAGACACGGCCCAAACUCCUACGGGAGGCUGCAGUAGGGAAUCUUCCACAAUGGACGAAAGUCUGAUGGAGCAACGCCGCGUGUGUGAUGAAGGCUUUCGGGUCGUAAAGCACUGUUGUAUGGGAAGAAAUGCUAGGCUAGGAAAUGAGCUUAGUUUGACGGUACCAUACCAGAAAGGGACGGCUAAAUACGUGCCAGCCGCCGCGGUAA